AACGAACGCUGGCGGCAUGCCUAACACAUGCAAGUCGAACGAGACCUUCGGGUCUAGUGGCGCACGGGUGCGUAACGCGUGGGAACCUGCCCUUAGGUUCGGAAUAACUCCCCGAAAGGGGUGCUAAUACCGGAUAAUGUCUUCGGACCAAAGAUUUAUCGCCUUUGGAUGGGCCCGCGUUGGAUUAGUUAGUUGGUAGGGUAAAAGCCUACCAAGGCGACGAUCCAUAGCUGGUCUGAGAGGAUGAUCAGCCACACUGGGACUGAGACACGGCCCAGACUCCUACGGGAGGCAGCAGUGGGGAAUAUUGGACAAUGGGCGAAAGCCUGAUCCAGCAAUGCCGCGUGAGUGAUGAAGGCCUUAGGGUUGUAAAGCUCUUUUACCCGGGAUGAUAAUGACAGUACCGGGAGAAUAAGCUCCGGCUAACUCCGUG
rnacentral:rRNA from 1 species